ACGAGGGGUCCUAGCGUUGUUCGGAAUUAUUGGGCGUAAAGCGGGUGUAGGCGGUUAGAUAAGUCAGAAGUGAAAGCCCUGGGCUCAACCUGGGAAGUGCUUUUGAUACUGUUUAACUUGAGUGUAGGAGAGGUUGCUAGAAUUCCUGGUGUAGUGGUGAAAUACGUAGAUAUCAGGAGGAAUACCGGUGAGGAAGCUGGGUGACUGGCCUAACACUGACGCUCAGACCCGAAAGCGUGGGGAUCAAACAGG
rnacentral:rRNA from 1 species